rnacentral:sRNA from 1 species
GCCACAUGUCAUAGCACAUACUUGUAGUCCCAGCUACCUUGGAGGCCAAAGUAGAUGGAUGUCUUGAGCCCAGGAGUUUGAGGCUAACCUGGGCAACACAGUGAGACCCUGUUUCAA